rfam:St. Louis encephalitis virus strain CbaAr-4005, complete genome
AUGUCUAAAAAACCAGGAAAACCCGGUAAAAACCGGGUUGUCAAUAUG